rnacentral:rRNA from 1 species
UACGGGGGGGGCAAGCGUUGUUCGGAUUCAUUGGGCGUAAAGGGUGCGUAGGCGGCGCGGUAAGUCGGGUGUGAAAUCUCGGAGCUUAACUCCGAAACUGCAUUCGAUACUGCCGUGCUUGAGGACUGGAGAGGAGACUGGAAUUUACGGUGUAGCGGUGAAAUGCGUAGAUAUCGUAAGGAAGACCAGUGGCGAAGGCAGGUCUCUGGACAGUUCCUGACGCUGAGACACGAAGGUCAGGGGAGCAAACGGG